UCACCGGCCCGGUUGAUCUCCACCACCUCCUCCUGCGCCAGGGGACAAGCGUCGUGAGCCGGGGGGCCGCGCCGGGCCGCCGUGGGUCCACCGCCACCGCCGCCAUCAUCUCCAGGCGAGCCGGGAGCCGGACCGUAGCCGGGCGAGCCGGGUUGGGGCGCCCGCGGGAUGUGCUUGUUCUUCUUCUUGGGCAGCUUCUGCUUGGCCAUGGCCAACGAGUAGUACAUGCCGAAGUUGUUGACGAUGACGGGCACGGGCAUGGCGAUGGUGAGGACGCCGGCCAGGGCGCAGAGGGCGCCCACCAACAUGCCCGACCACGUCAUGGGGUACAUGUCGCCGUAGCCCAGCGUGGUCAUGGUCACCACGGCCCACCAGAAGCCGAUGGGGAUGUUCUUGAAGUAGGUGUGCUUGCUGCCCGUGAUGUCGUCGGGGUCGGCGCCGAUGCGCUCGGCGUAGUAGAUCAUGGUGGCGAAGAUGAGGACGCCGAGGGCGAGGAAGAUGAUGAGCAGCAGGAACUCGUUGGUGCUGGCCCGCAGCGUGUGGCCCAGCACCCGCAGCCCCACGAAGUGCCGCGUCAGCUUGAAGAUGCGCAGGAUGCGGACGAAACGCACCACGCGCAGGAAGCCCAGCACGUCCUUGGCCGCCUUGGACGAGAGGCCGCUGAGGCCCACCUCCAGGUAGAAGGGCAGGAUGGCCACGAAGUCGAUGAUGUUGAGGCUGCUCUUGACGAACUCCAGCUUGUCGGGGCAGAAGCUGACGCGCAUGAGGAACUCGAAGGUGAACCACACCACGCACGUGCCCUCCACGUAGGUGAGGAAGGGCUCCGUCUCCACCUCCACGUCCACGUGGGUGCCCGUGCCGUUGCCCAGCGCCACCGUCUCCGUCUUGUUGAUGACCCGGUUGAAGGCCUCGUGCGUCUCCAGGCAGAACGUGGUGAUGGAGAUGAGGAUGAAGAAGAGCGAGGCGAAGGCCACGUACUGCGGGGGCGGGGGGGCAGGGUUAGGAGGAGGCAGCGGGGGAGAGGGCCCAGGCGUCCGGGUGCCCCAGAGCCCUGAAUGACAAAAGGGGCCCAGGCGUCCGGGUGACCCAGAGCCCUGAAUGACAAAAGGGGCCCAGGCGUCCGGGUGCCCCAAAGCCCUGAAUGACAAAAGGGGCCCAGGUGUCCGGGUGCCCCAAAGCUCCAAACUAUGGAAGGGGCCCAGGCGUCCGGGUGCCCCAAAGCUCUGAAUGACAAAAGGGGCCCAGGCGUCCG
rnacentral:lncRNA from 1 species